GGAGAUCCCUGUGUACCUGAGGACUUCUGAAGGAUGCUGAGUGCUAUUGGUAUUCCAAAGUUCGGGUUAAAUUCAGCUCAUGAUGUCUGAAGAAUGCAGUACAUCAGUAAGGAAAGCUUUCAAUUUACAACUCUGGCUGUCCUUGAGCUGGUGCUUUGUAUUUGUUACAGUCUCCUGAGGGAGGAUUCAUUGACUGGUGACUCAACAUUUUAACUCACAGAAAAUUCAUUCUCAUUCUGGUGUCUUCAAUUUUUCAGAAGACCUUACUGUUCUUCAUUGAUUAUGGACUGAGGAUUAAUUAUGCUGUCACUUAGUGUAUUUACAUGCUUGAGCAAUAUAUUGACUCACUUAUUUUAGUAUGGUCAGCAUUAUUCCUUGGUAUGGGGCAUGUUUAUUUUAUUAAUGGUUGCAGAGCAACAUGUUGCCAUUAAAAUGAAUGGAAGAGAUCAGAUAGCGAAGCUGUAUUUAUUCCCUCAGUAAAUCUCUAAAGAUAAUUUUCUUACUACUCUGAGAACUGGAAUGCCUACAUCUUUUGCCUUGAA